UAUCUCUGCACUGUGCUAACAGUUAUGGAUCGUUUGAAGAAUCAUUUUUCCACUAAACGGUUUAAAAAAGUUAUUGAUUCUCUAUCAGAAGAUUAAAAAGGUUUUGUUGUAAAGAAUGGUUUUCAAAGUAUUUUGGCUAUGCGCAAGUUCAGUGUUCCGUUGCCUUUUCUUGAAUGGGUGAUGGGUCUGCUUGUCAUUGAGCCUUAUUAGUUUAUGCACAGAGGAUAGACUUUCAGGUUCACCAGAUUUAUGGUUCAACAAAUCCUUGGUAUUCCUUCUGGAGACAUUCCAAUUAAUCUUCUCAAUAGUUCCAUCAAAUCAUGUGAUCAAGCAGAUCAGUGUAAUUCAAUAUUUUUAGUUUCACCAGAUUUUGAAAGAUGAUAUAACUCCUGGAAUCACAAAUGCAAUGGGAUAUGAUACUGAAGCAAGCAUUGAUGUAGCAGAAAUUGAUUGCAGAGUUAAUUCCAAAAGGAAGGCAAGAAUGGGUUCCAGUACGAUUGACAGGAAGAACAGGGAGAAGAGAGCAGUUAUCACAUUUGAUGAUGAUAAUGCAUGAUACCAACAUGGCCUACCAUGAAUUCUGAAGACAAGCUUUUAUGUUGUGGCACCUCAAGAAUGUGUCAAAGUAACCGGGUUCUAUGAGAUGAUACUUUUUGCUGUUCAAGUAGGUUACAUAGGCUUAAGUUUUACAUGUGUCUGCAGCUCUGAAAAACUAAGCAUACUGUUUAUUACUCUAUUUCAUUAUAGAACCUUUUCUCUUGUUCCAUCUUUCUUAACAUCUGCACCAGAAUUCUGAGAACAUUUGAAAGUGUUCCUCACACUCCAUUUGAAAGUGUU